AGCUCCGGAUGAGGAGGGGAAAAGCGGGGGAAAAGAGGGAAAAGAGCCGGGAGAGAGGUGGGCGAGGACGAGGGCGAGGGCACGGCCGGGCUCUUGGCCGGCCAAAGGAGGCUCGCGGAAGCAGCAGCCGCCGCCCGACCGCAGCUGAAUUCUGAAGAUUGAUCCAAGGGGGACUGUGUUAAUUUCAGGAAUUGAUUUGAAAGACAUUGGCUCUGCCACUUAACAGCCAUGUAACCUUGGUGAGCCAUUAAUAGAGGCAGCACAUACCCCAAGCGGCAAGAGUGGCCCCGCCAAGCUCCUUCCCUGCCCGGGAACUGCGCUCAGCGUCUCAGCAUCAAGGCGGCACAGCUUCGAACUGUGUCUAAUUCCAGAAGAGCAACUGAAGCACUCUAAUUAGGACAAUUCAAGGAGGAUGUAUUUACAAAGUUACUCUUAACAAAGAUGUAGGACUUGUAUCGGCAAACCACAGGGACAGUGCAGUUACUUGAAGCUAGCAACAUCAGGAGAAGGAAGAGGUACCAGAACCAGGAGAGUCUUGUAGAGCCCCCUCGCCUAGAGAGAAUGGCCUUCCAUUGAGGAACAUGGCCAAUCCCAGGUGACCUAGAGGGAGGGAAUCAAGGACAUGAAUAUCCUGAUCUCACUCUGCUACCUCCCUCUGAUCGCCUGUCAUGGCUCUACAUUGGCAACCAGAAACCAGAGGGCACGGGAGUCUAAUGAUGUAAUACCUCCUGGGGAAGAGAGCACAGUGGAGAAAAGGAGACAGUGAGCCCAGAGGGGCAAAUGGUUGACCUCUGGCAUAGCCGUCUUUUGGCAUACAGUGCACCUCUUACCUCUUCAAAAAGUCUUUUCUUACCUUCCUAGACCAAAAUUAGCUCUUCAGUUCUUAUUAGGAUUUGGUCAUUGACUGUUGCCUUCCGACUAUUUUACCUUGUAUACUGUUUCAUUAUUUAAAAGCUGUUAAUUCUUUUUAACUUCUAAAUAUGUUUGUCCUAUCCAGUCAACCCAGUUUUAAACCGUGAGUACUGUGAUUUUUUUUCCCAUACUGUAUUUUGCUUAAU